GCUGUGAGCCGAGAUCUCACCACUGCACUCCAGCCUGGGCGACAGAGCAAGACUCUGUCACACACACACAAAAAAUAAAUGAACUGUUGCUAUGUGGCAUACCAUGGGUGUGGUUCAAACAUCAUAUUGAACAAAAGAGGCUAGACACAAAAGACAGCAUGGUGCCAUUUAUAGAAAACUCACCAAGAGACCAAAUAACCUACGACAUUGCAUGGCAGGACAUGUUAGGAGGUGGUGGGGGUGGUGACAGGAAGGAAUGCACCAGAAACAUGUGGGUGACAGGUCUGUGCCUACUUGCUAGCGGGUGUCUCCACGUGUCAGAAUUCUGUCUGCAGCCUGGCAAAAGUAAGUUGUGGAAAGAUGCGAUACCUGUCCCCUCCCUCUCGUUCUUGGAACUGACGUCUCCUGGAUGGAUCCUAGCAAAUGGUAAUUUGCAGAUUGCAAUCUCAUCUUUUCAAAGCAAUUGGACACGUCUUCAUACCAAAUUUCACUCAAGGGAACCCGUGUGCACAUCUGCACUGCACUCUGGGCAGGGAACCUGCGUGCACAUCUGCAGUGCACUCUGGGCAGGGAACCUGCGUGCUCGUCUGCAGUGCACUCUGGUCAGGGAACCUGCGUGCACAUCUGCAGUGCACUCUGGGCAGGGAACCUGCGUGCUCGUCUGCAGUGCACUCUGGGCAGGGAACCUGUGUGCACGUCUGCAAUGCACUCUGGGCUUUAUGUCUAAAGUCAAUCAGCAGGGUUUGUUGCAAGCAGAAUGCAGAAGCCAUGUAAGGCCACAGAACAGUUACAGACGACGAGGAACAGCGAGCGUCCCUCUCCCAUUCAAUGGGAGCCACCUGCGCCAGCCCACGCCACAGACCACAGCGAGGAUGCGCGCCUAAGAACGGUGGUGGUUAGAGCUAAGGUAUGGGGACUAUACACCAUAAAUAUUCCUGAAUUACUUAGUUCAGAGGUAGAGUUAACAUAACUGCUUCUUUUAAUUAUAUGAUCUAAAGCAUACAUGAGAAUAAUCACCAAACUCCCAUACUAGGCGAUAUGGCGU
rnacentral:lncRNA from 1 species